GGAGAAUGGCAUGUCCUUCCCAUGAGGACUUCCUUCUGAUCCACACCAAAGCUGAGCAGGAGAGGAAAGAAGUCAGAGAGAAAGCCUUGGCCUUGUCUUCAUCCAACCGUUUUCUGGGCACCUAGUGAUUCCACCUGACUCUAGAAAAUUCAAAUGAUGUCUUUUGGAGACUUCAACCAAUAACUCCCAGCUCAGCAUGGGAGUCUCAUGGGAGCUGACUUCAAGAAUGGAAAGAGAUGCCAGGCCACUUAAAAGCUAAGCCUACAACGGGAUAACACCACUUCUACUCUAUCAAAGAAGGUCUACAGUCUACCCCAGGUGUGGGAAGGUAGAAAGCAGUCAGCACAUGUGUAAGAAAGAAAGGAAUCAAAAGUCUCCCCUUUAGAUGCUAUAUAUCACAACAUCUCUCCAUCAGUUUGCUAACUACUAGUAGUCUGUCAUUUAUUUCAUUCUUAUUGGAAGCAGAGAAGCACAAAAUGACCAGUACAUUUUAAAUAAUCAAUAACUGUUUUAAAGAUAUUUGAGGACCUAGGAGAUUGUUUUGUCUCUAAUAUUGACCAACUCUAACAAGAGGAAGCCCAGAAGUCAUUCCACAUAUAUGCUGUACCUGAAACCUAAGGAAGUCUUGUGAGGGACUAAUAUGAUCAGAAGAAAAAGAUCAUGCACUGUGAGCCUAAUAGAAAUGGCUCAGAUUCCUAGAACAGUCAGAGGUUAGACCUAGGGAUUCGGUUUUGUCUUCACGAAAGUACA